ACCUGCGGAAGGAUCAUUGUCGUGUCCCUGAACAAAACAGACCGCGAACAUGUCAUCUAAGCUGCUGGGUUGAUGGGUCGUGUACCUUUCUCCCGGUCUUGUCCACCAACCUUUUUACCAAGGUAUGGUGCAAAAAGAACCCACGGCGCUGUAUGGCGUCAAGGAAACAUAAUAUUUGCCUUGCUUGGGAUGGUGGUCGGCUUCCUGGACACACCCCUUGCACUGAUGCUAAGGAAAUUCACAUGACUCUCGGCAACGGAUAUCUCGGCUCUUGCAUCGAUGAAGAACGUAGCAAAAUGCGAUACUUGGUGUGAAUUGCAGAAUCCCGUGAACCAUCGAGUUUUUGAACGCAAGUUGCGCCCAAUGCCUUUGGGCUGAGGGCACGUCUGCUUGGGCGUCACGUCAAAAGACACUCCACACCAUACUUAGUGUGGAUGUGGUGUUUGGCCCUUCUUCCAGAUUGGUAUGGAGGGCUAAAGAUACGGCUUCCGGCAGUGCCGAUCACAACACUUGGUGGAUGACAUAAGUUGUUCUCAUUGUUAUGAUCUGGACAACUCCUUGUCAUAUGAUGGCCCUUUGAACCCAUGGUUUGGAGCGAAAGUAGCUUGAAUUGCGACCCCAGGUCAGUCGGGACUACCCGCUGAAUUUAAGCAUAUCAAUAAGCGG
rnacentral:rRNA from 1 species